UACGGAGGAUGCGAGCGUUAUCCGGAUUUAUUGGGUUUAAAGGGUGCGUAGGCGGACUGAUAAGUCAGCGGUGAAAUCUCCAGGCUCAACCUGGAACCUGCCGUUGAAACUGCCAGUCUUGAGUAUGGAUGAAGUAGGCGGAAUUCGUUGUGUAGCGGUGAAAUGCUUAGAUAUAACGAGGAACUCCAAUUGCGUAGGCAGCUUACUAAGCCAUAACUGACACUGAAGCACGAAAGCGUGGGUAUCAAACAGG
rnacentral:rRNA from 1 species